UACGUAGGUGGCGAGCGUUAUCCGGAAUGAUUGGGCGUAAAGGGUGCGUAGGCGGGCUGUUAAGUCAGCGGUCAAAUGUCGGGGCUCAACCCCGGCCUGCCGUUGAAACUGGCGGCCUCGAGUGGGCGAGAAGUAUGCGGAAUGCGUGGUGUAGCGGUGAAAUGCAUAGAUAUCACGCAGAACUCCGAUUGCGAAGGCAGCAUACCGGCGCCCAACUGACGCUGAGGCACGAAAGCGUGGGUAUCGAACAGG
rnacentral:rRNA from 1 species